rnacentral:rRNA from 1 species
UACGUAGGGUGCGAGCGUUGUCCGGAAUUAUUGGGCGUAAAGAGCUCGUAGGCGGUGUGUCACGUCGUUCGUGAAAACCUGCAGCUUAACUGUGGGCGUGCGGUCGAUACGGGCAUCACUGGAGUUCGGCAGGGGAGACUGGAAUUCCUGGUGUAGCGGUGAAAUACGCAGAUAUCAGGAGGAACACCGGUGGCGAAGGCGGGUCUCUGGGCCGAUACUGACGCUGAGGCGCGAAAGCUAGGGGAGCAAACGGG